UGGGUGCAAUUAAGAAUAAGGCUCUUUAAAUCAAACUUGAGCUGAUGCAGCAACGUGUGACAAAAUCUCACAGAGGCCCGUUAGACUCUAAGAAGCAAAGGUUCCUCUUCCUAAACCACAAAGUCUUGAGCGCCCACGUACAAGUCAACAAUAAAAGCAGCGUCUUCUCUCAUCAACUCACAAACCUCACCACACAGACCAGGACACACAACUGAAACCAGUGAAUUCAGCAGGAACAAUGUCGAAGGUUGGAAACGUAGAGGGUGUUGGCAUCGGAAACAACGUUGGGGACGUCGGUGCUCACAAUGAAGUCAAAGUUCAAGGAGGUCUAGGAAAAGACGCUUCUCUUGGAAAUGUGUCCGACGUCAAGGUGUGUGGAACAAAUGCUGGGAAAAUUGGAGCACACAACAAGCUUGACGUAAAAGGAGGACUUCCAGAUAACGCAAGUGUUGGAAACACUUCUAAAGUGGUUGUUGGUCAAAACACCGGGAACAUCGGUGCUGGAAACAAGAUUAACAUCAGCUGAGGAAAUGAUCCUCCGAUGAUCAGCUCUUCCUAAAAUGAUGAAACAUUUGCUUUGCUGUCAGUACAUUGAAGGUUUUCCACCUCUGUGUUCAGACAUCAAUCAUUCCAAAUCUGUAAACGUAAAUGUCACUCAUCAGAUGUAUUCAAAAGAAGAGUUGAAAUAAAGUCUAUCUACUGAACAAUA